CCUACGGGGGGCUGCAGUGGGGAAUAUUGCGCAAUGGGGGCAACCCUGACGCAGCAACGCCGCGUGAUUGAAGAAGGCCUUCGGGUUGUAAAGAUCUUUAAUCAGGGACGAAUAAUGACGGUACCUGAAGAAUAAGCUCCGGCUAACUACGUGCCAGCAGCCGCGGUAAUACGUAGGGAGCAAGCGUUAUCCGGAUUUACUGGGUGUAAAGGGCGCGCAGGCGGGCCGGCAAGUUGGGAGUGAAAUCCGGGGGCUUAACCCCCGAACUGCUUUCAAAACUACUGGUCUUGAGUGAUGGAGAGGCAGGCGGAAUUCCGUGUGUAGCGGUGAAAUGCGUAGAUAUACGGAGGAACACCAGUGGCGAAGGCGGCCUGCUGGACAUUAACUGACGCUGAGGCGCGAAAGCGUGGGGAGCAAACAGGAUUAGAUACCCGGGUAGUC
rnacentral:rRNA from 1 species